rnacentral:rRNA from 1 species
CAAUAGCGUAUAUUAAAGUUGUUGCAGUUAAAAAGCUCGUAGUUGGAUUUCUGGUUGAAGCGACCGGUCGGGCGUUGAUUCGUCUGCACUGGAGUCGGUUUUGGCCAUCCUCUAGGAAAGUGCGUCUGGUAUUAAGUUAUCGGGCGUAUGAUCCUGGUCUUUUACUGUGAAAAAAUUAGAGUGUUUAAAGCAGGCCUUCGCCUUGAAUACAUUAGCAUGGAAUAAUAAGAUAGGACUUUGGUCUAUUUUGUUGGUUUGCAGACCGAAGUAAUGAUUAAUAGGGAUAGUUGGGGGUAUUUAUAUUCCGAUGUCAGAGGUGAAAUUCUUAGAUUUUCGGAAGAUAAACUUAUGCGAAAGCAUUUACCAAGGAUGUUUUCGUUAA